GACGAACGCUGGCGGCGUGCUUAACACAUGCAAGUCGAACGGAAAGGCCCCCACCUUGGUGGGGGUGCUCGAGUGGCGAACGGGUGAGUAACACGUGGGUGAUCUGCCCUGUACUUCGGGAUAAGCUUGGGAAAAUGGGUGUAAUACCGGAUAGGAACAUGGUUAAGUGUCGCAUGGAGGAAACAUUAUUGUUUUGGUGCAGGAUGAGCUCGCGGCCUAUCAGCUUGUUGGUGGGGUAAUGGCCUACCAAGGCGUCGAAGGGUAGCCGGCCUGAGAGGGUGGACGGCCACAUUGGGACUGAGAUACGGCCCAGACUCCUACGGGAGGCAGCAGUGGGGAAUCUUGCACAAUGGGCGCAAGCCUGAUGCAGCGACGCCGCGUGGGGGAUGACGGCCUUCGGGUUGUAAACUCCUUUCGUUAGGGACGAAGCCACACCUUUUUUGGGUGUGGUGACGGUACCUUUGUUAAGAAGCACCGGCUAACUACGUG
rnacentral:rRNA from 1 species